UAGUCCCAAAUAGCACCCUAUUGUCUAUUUAGUCCCAAAUAGCACCCUAUUGUCUAUUUAGUCUCAAAUAGCACCCUAUUGUCUAUUUAGUCUCAAAUAGCACCCUAUUGUCUAUUUAGUCCCAAAUUGCACCCUAGUCCCUAUUUAGUCCCAAAUUGCACCCUAUUCCCUAUUUAGUCCCAAAUAGCACCCUAUUGUCUAUUUAGUCCCAAAUAGCACCCUAUUGUCUAUUUAGUCCCAAAUAGCACCCUAUUGUCUAUUUAGUCCCAAAUAGCACCCUAUUGUCUAUUUAGUCUCAAAUAGCACCCUAUUGUCUAUUUAGUCCCAAAUAGCACCUUAUUGUCUAUUUAGUCUCAAAUAGCACCCUAUUCCCUGUUUAGUCCCAAAUUUCACUCUAUUCCCUUUAUAGUGUGCUACUUAUGACCAGGGCCUAUAGGGCGGAAUAGGGGGCCAUUUGGAAAGUCACAUUAUAUAGUGUAUUAGAGGUUGACCUCUAUAAUGUAACACAACAUGCGGAGAUGUGGGAGUGGAGGGAUUUGUUUUGCCCCUUUUCAAACCUGCACAUGUCUGUCCUUUUAAUGUAUAUAAUGUAUAUCAUUUAUAAUGGCCUCAUUGUUCUGGGUAACAUUCACAUUACAUUUCCUGAUCCAUUAAGUCCGCUAGCUACAUCGUGGUACUGUACAUAUUUUCAUGAUAAACAUUUGUAACCCAACGUACUAGACAACGGGGAGGAAACGAGAUUUGGAUAUGUUGUUUACACCAUGGAAAAAGGCCCAACAGUUUCAACACAAAACGGCCCAGUGUAGAGAGAGACUGGGCUGCAGGGCAGUAUUUCAACAUGAUAACGACCCCAAACACACCUCUCCAAGACGACCACUGCCUUGCUAAAGAAGCUGAGGGUAAAGGUGAUGGACUGGCCAAGCAUGUCUCCAGACCUAAACCCUAUUGAGCAUCUGUGGGGCAUCCUCAAACGGAAGGUGGAGGAGUGCAAGGUCUCUAACAUCCACCAGCUCCGUGAUGUCGUCAUGGAGGAGGACUCCAGUGGCAACCUGUGAAGCUCUGGUGAACUCCAUAAGGCAGUGCUGGAAAAUUAUGGUGGCCACAAAAUAUUGACACUUUGGGCCCAAUUUGGACAUUUUCACUUAGGGGUGUACUCACUUUUGUUGCCAGCGGUUUAGACAUUAAUGGCUGUGUGUGGAGUUAUUUUGAGGGGACAGCAAAUGUACACUGUUAUACAAGCUGUACACUCACUACUUUACAUUGUAGCAAAGUGUCAUUUCUUCAGUGUUGUCACAUGAAAAUAUAUACUCAAAUAUUUACAAAAAUGUGAGGGGUGUACUCACUUUUGUGAUAUACUGUAUCUUCCCUAUAGGUCUACAUUAAAAUACAACCACUGUAUGUUUCAAUAGGAACAUCUCCACAGGACCCAUCUUCCCCACGGGCCAACAUUAAAAUACAACCACUGUAUGUUUCAAUAGGAACAUCUCCACAGGACCUAUCUUCCCCACGGGCCG
ensembl:lncRNA